UGGGCCAUUUCCGGUUUCCUUCACCUAGUCGUGCUUCUAGGCCUGCGCAGUACACCUGCAUGUGAGGAGUGCAGCGCUGGUCCUUGUAGUACUUCUCUCUCGGCGUCAUCUUCGAGCAAAUUUCCGGACGUCUUUAGAGCUUUCUCAAGUUCCGUUAUUUGCUUCUCAAAACUGUCUUCGGAGAGAGAAGGAGCAAGUCACUCCAUUUUAAUACUGAAGAUGGAAAGAAAUAAGCAACAUGUUCGGCAUAUUAUGCUUUAUUAUUUCAAGAAAGGUAAAAACGCAACUGAAACGCAACAGAAGAUUUGUGCGGUGUAUGGAGAAGGUGCUGUGACUGAUCAAAUGUGUCAAAAGUGGUUUGCGAAGUUUCGUGCUGGAGAUUUCUCACUGGACUAUCCUCCAGUUGAAGUUGAUAGUGAUCAAAUUGAGACAUUAAUUGAGAACAAUCAGCGUUAUACCAUGGGGAGAUAGCCAACAUACUCAAAAUAUCCAAAUUAAGCGCUGAAAAUCAUUUGCACCAGCUUGGUUAUGUUAACCACUUUGAUGUUUGGGAUCCACAGUAAGUUAAGCAAAAAAAACAUUCUUUACCAUAUUUCUGCAUGCGAUUCUCUACUUAAACAUAGUGAGAACAUUCUGCUUUUACAACCAGUUGUGAAGAGCAAUGAAAAGUGGAUACUUUACUAUAGUGUGGAAUGGAAGGGAUUGUGGAGCAAGUGAAAUGAACCACCACCAACCACACCAAAGGCUAUCUUCAUCCAAAUAAGGUGAUGUUGUGUAUAUGGUGGGAUUGGGAAGGAGUCCUCUGUUAUGAGCUCCUUCCAGGAAACCAAAUGAUUAAUUUCAACCAGCACUGCUCCUAGUGAGACGAAUGGAAAGCAGCACUUGAUAAAAAGCGUCUAGAAUUAGUCAACAGAAAACACAUAAUCUUCCAUCAGGAUAACACAAGACUGCGUGCUUCUUUGAUGACCAGGCAAAAACUAUUACAGCUUGGCUGGGAAGUUCUUUCCUCUGCCAUAUUUACCAGACCUUGACCCCUUGGAUUUUCAUUUAUUUUGGUCUUCACAAAAUUCUCUUAAUGGAAAAAAUUUCAAUUCCUUGGAAGACUUCAAAAAGCACCUGGAACCAUUCUUUGCUCAAAAAGAUAAAAAGUUUUGGGAAGAUGGAAUUAUGAAGUUGCCUGAAAGAUGGAAGAAGGUGGUGGAACGAAACAGUGAGUGCGUUCAAUAAAAUUAUUGGUGAAAAUGAAAAA